rnacentral:rRNA from 1 species
AUUGAACGCUGGCGGCAGGCUUAACACAUGCAAGUCGAGCGAGCGGCGGACGGGUGUGUAAUGUCUGGGACACUGCCUGAUGGAGGGGGAUAUCUACUGGAAACGGUAGCUAAUACCGCAUACCAUCAGGUGUUCCGAGAUGGGAUUAGCUAGUAGGUGGGGUAACGGCUCACCUAGGCUACGAUCCCUUGCUGGUCUGAGAGGAUGACCAGCCACACGGGAACGGAGACACGGUCCAGACGCCUACGGGAGGCAGCAGUGGGGAAUAUUGCACAAUGGGCGCAAGCCUGAUGCAGCCAUGCCGCGUGUGUGAAGAAGGCCUUCGGGUUGUAAAGCACUUUCAGCGAGGAGGCGUUACUCGCAGAAGAAGCACCGGCUAACUCCGUGCCAGCAGCCGCGGUAAUAC